rnacentral:rRNA from 1 species
UCUGGCGGUCCUCGACYGUCCGAGUUGUAAUCUAGAGAAGUGUUACCCGCGCUGGACCGUGUACAAGUCUCCUGGAAUGGAGCGUCAUAGAGGGUGAGAAUCCCGUCUCUGACACGGACUCCCAGGGCUUUGUGGUACGCUCUCAAAGAGUCGAGUUGUUUGGGAAUGCAGCUCAAAAUGGGUGGUAAAUUCCAUCUAAAGCUAAAUAUUGGCGAGAGACCGAUAGCGAACAAGUACCGUGAGGGAAAGAUGAAAAGAACUUUGGAAAGAGAGUUAAACAGUACGUGAAAUUGCUGAAAGGGAAACGCUUGAAGUCAGUCGCGUUGGCCGGGGAUCAGCCUCGCAUCUGCGUGGUGUAUUUUCUGGUUGACGGGUCAGCAUCAGUUUCGACCGCUGGAAAAAGUCCUGAGGAAUGUGGCAGCUCCGGCUGUGUUAUAGCCUCUGGUCGCAUACAGCGGUUGGGAUUGAGGAACUCAGCACGCCGCAAGGCCGGGUUUCGACCACGUACGUGCUUAGGAUGCUGGCAUAAUGGCUUUAAGCGACCCGUCUUGAAACACGGACCAAGGAGUCUAACAUGCCUGCGAGUGUUUGGGUGGAAAACCCGAGCGCGCAAUGAAAGUGAAAGUUGAGAUCCCUGUCGUGGGGAGCAUCGACGCCCGGACCAGAACUUUUGGGACGGAUCCGCGGUAGAGCAUGUAUGUUGGGACCCGAAAGAUGGUGAACUAUGCCUGAAUAGGGUGAAGCCAGAGGAAACUCUGGUGGAGGCUCGUAGCGAUUCUGACGUGCAAAUCGAUCGUCAAAUUUGGGUAUAGGGGCGAAAGACUAAUCGAACC